rnacentral:misc_RNA from 1 species
GGUGAAGUGAGCUUUUAUCUAAGAUUUUUCCAUUUCAAUGGCGACCAUCAAUGGCUUAACCUCACCACACCCCUUUCUCUCUCUACAAAAAUCCAACUCAAAGCCCUUUCUCUCUCUGUCAAAACCCAUGAAGUCUCAAUUCUUAUUCAAAGGUCUUAAACAGCAGAAUCAGCAGUUGAGAGAUUGGGCUGUAGUGGGUUCGGUAUCAAACGAAGCCGACGAGAUUCGGGUCCAAAGUUCUGACGUUAUGGACCAGCAAAAUGGGGUUGUAAUUGGGUUGGAAAGAGAACCGAAAUUAGGGGGCGGAGAUAUGGGUAUUGUAAAUCAGGUGGUGGGUGGGUUUGGAAAUGAAGGGAGGUUGUCGUUUGAAGGUGGUGGUGGGUUUUCUUCGGCAAGUGGUGUUGGUGGAUCAGAGAGUAAAGAGGAGGAUGUGGAGAAACUUAUUGAUAGAACUAUAAAUGCAACUAUUGUGUUAGCUGCUGGAUCUUUUGCUAUUACUAAAUUGCUCACUAUUGAUCAUGAUUACUGGCAUGGAUGGACCUUAUUUGAGAUAUUGAGAUAUGCACCUCAGCACAACUGGGUUGCAUACGAGGAAGCGCUUAAAAGAAAUCCAGUUUUGGCUAAAAUGGUUAUCAGUGGAGUGGUUUACUCUGUUGGGGAUUGGAUUGCACAGUGCUAUGAAGGGAAGCCUCUUUUUGAAAUCGAUCGUGCACGUAUGUUGAGAUCAGGCUUAGUUGGAUUCACGCUACAUGGAUCCCUCUCUCAUUAUUAUUAUCAGUUCUGUGAGGCACUGUUUCCAUUCGAAGAUUGGUGGGUGGUUCCUGUCAAGGUUGCCUUUGAUCAAACUGUUUGGUCAGCAAUUUGGAACAGCAUCUACUUCACAGUUUUGGGAAUUUUACGUCUUGAAUCCCCUCUUGCUAUUUUCAGUGAAUUGAAGGCUACGUUCUUGCCAAUGUUGACGGCUGGUUGGAAGCUGUGGCCAUUUGCUCAUCUAAUUACAUAUGGUGUAAUUCCGGUUGAACAAAGGCUUCUUUGGGUUGACUGUGUAGAACUCGUUUGGGUGACAAUACUCUCAACUUAUUCAAAUGAGAAAUCAGAAUCUAGAGUCUCUGAGGUGAUCGUAGAAGCAGAGGCGCAACCUCCCUCAGUAAGCCCACCACAGGAGUAAAUGAAUCGAAGAGCAAUGACACAACCAAAAUUUGAGGAAAUGUAUAGCUUUGAGGUGAUAUAGCUGCAGAUACUUGCUGUACCAUACGCUCAGUAAACGUCCUCUGAGAUACUCGUUUAUAAUUUAUGCAUACAGCACGCAGCCCUCCUUCCUCCGCGUAUGUACACAAAUUCUUUUAUAGUAAUUGUAAAAUAGUGCAAUCGCGACCUCUAACGUUCAUGCUGAAGUUUCUGUUGAAACUUCCAUAAUAGAAGUAUAUAGCUUAUAACAUAAUAUUAACUAUCUUUGAAGGAUCAUGAAAUAUGAAUGAAGUGAACUGGUGGUUCAAGCCUG